rnacentral:lncRNA from 1 species
GUUCAACUCCCCUUGAGGGCCUCUCCGGUCCCGAGGCCUACGCCGGGGCCCUGCGGCCCGGUCUGUGAAAUGGGCUGAAACCUCCGAGGGGCGUUGGACCAAGGCCCUGGAGGAAACCGGGGGCGUUGGACCAAGGCAGAGGUUGGGCCAGGUGGUCCCGCCCCUGCAGGAACCCGUGGGGCUGGAGCUCGGAUUAGAACCACAGAGAGGACAUUCAUUAAGACUUGAGCUAAAGGUUUGGCGAGGAGUGACGCCCAAGACGGGCGGACCCCGCCACCCACCUCAGUCCCGGGACCGCGGCAGCUCAAAACCCGACACGCGCCGGACUCAUGCCCCAACAGGAAGCAGCUUUUACCUUCCACGGAUUGGCUCAGGACCCGUCACGUGCCUCUGUCGAGCCAACGAGCCUCACGCUGGGCUUAGCCCUCCUCGAACGUGCUGGGGUGGUGGGCGGGGCCCAAGCCGCCCUUCAACCAGGCUCAGCUGGCCACCAACCCCAACCCCCGCCCCAGCGCCCUCAGCGGAGGCCACAGAGGACUCCCAAUAUAAAGACAAACGUACUGAAGGCCCAGCAUAUGGGAGUCUCUACCCUAAACGACUUAUUUCUUGGGAUAGUUUAAUAUUUUUUGAGAUAGGGUCUCGCUGUGUCGCCCAGGCGACACUUUGGGAGGCUGCGCUCUGGGCUCACUGCAACCUUCGCCUACCGAGUAGCUGGGAUUACAGGUGCAUGCCGCCACACUCUGCUCUUUUUUUUUUUUUUUUUUUUUUUUUGGUAUUUUUAUAGAGAAAGAGUUUUGCUUGUUGCCCAGGCUGGUCUCGAACCCCUGACUUCAAGUGAUCCACCUGCCUCAGCCUCCCAAAGCGCUGGGAUUACAAGCUUGAGGCACCGCACCUGGGUGCUGGCAAUCUCCCUCGAGGCCUCCACCAUGUUCAGCACCACCACAGCACCCCGGUGCUGCAGCUCCUGGUUGGAGCUCAGAAGCAGGGCCUGCAGGAUCUCCAGCCAGUGUGUGGUCUGUGAGAAAAACAGGGUAGAUAUGACCCCUGGGCAACAGGCUCAACCUUGGCAAGGGACACACCCACACACCCUAGGACUGCCCCCUUCAGCUGCUGCUGGGAGUUCCUGGUCCGUCCCUCCUCCCCCACUGAGAAGAGGCACUGACCACUUGGGGAAUGCGGCUGCAGAGCGUGGGCCGCAUGGAGGUAAGCAUGGCCAAGCCCCCGGCAGCUGCCCGCUGUAGCAGCUCAUCAUCCUCUCCACUGUACAGCACCAGCAGCUUCAGUCGGUCAUUGCCCUGGGCUUCGAAGAGGUCCUGCACCUGUGGCCAGAUGUGAGGAGUGGACCAAGUCAGUUGGGUGUAAAGCCCAGCCAGGGCACAGGUACCUCUGCAUCCCCGCCUGUCAUGAGCACCCAGACCAACCCUCACCUCCUUGCUCAUGGCCAAGUUACACAUGCACUCCGUGGCUGCCCGGCGGAUCAUCUCAUGCUCCUCAAACAUGUAGCCUUCUAUCAUGGGCACAGCCUUCUCCUUCAGGAUCUUCUGCCUGCAGGGCCACAGGAGGAAGCAGCAGGGAUACGGUUUGGAUGUUUUCCCUUCUAACCCUCAUGUUGAACUAUAAUCCCCAAUGUUGGAGGUAGGGCCUGGUGGGAGGUGACUGGGUCAUGGGAUGGGUCCCUCAUGGCUUGGUGCUAUCCUCGUGAUAGUAAGUUCUCGUGAGAUCUGGUUAUUUAAAAGUGCGUGGCAUCUCGGCCGGGCGUGGAGGCUCACGCCUGUAAUCCCAGCACUCUGGAAGGCCGAGGCAGGCAGAUGACUUGAGGUCAAGAGUUCGAGACCAGCCUGGCCAACAUGGUGAAACCUUGUCUCUACUAAAAAGACAAAAAAAAAUUAGCUGGGUAUGCUGGUGCGCGCCUGUAGUCCCAGCUACUCAGGGAGGCUGAGGCAGGAGAAGCGAUUGAACCCAGGAGGUGAAGGUUGCAGUGAGCCAAGAUUGCGCCACUGCACUCCAGCCUGGGCAACAGAGGGAGACUCCAUUUCAAAAAAAAAAAAAGUGUGUGGCACCUCCCCCGACUGUCUCUUGCUCCUACUUUCACCAUGUGAUGUGCCUGCUCCUGCUUUGCCUUCUACUAUGAGUAAAAGCUCUCUGAGGCCUCCCCAGAAGCUGAGCAAAUGCCAAUGCCAUGCUUACACAGCCUGUAGAGCCAGGAAGCAAUUAAAUCUCUUUUCUUUAUAAAUUACCCAGUCUCAGGUAUUCCUUUACAGCAAUGCAAGAACAGACUAACACCGGCAGCAUCAUCAGAGUUUCUACAUCUGCUCCACCCCUGCACCCACACCCUCAUGCAAUCAAGUCCUGGGCUGAGGAUUUCCCUUGGCAAUGUCCAAGGACCCUCUUGCACCAGGUAUGAACUACAGUGCUUCUUAGCCUUCUAACCAGGCCUAGGAAAUAGCAUAGGAUUGUGGGAAAUGCUCAAAAUUAGGAUGUAGAAGACCAGGGUGGUCGUGAUGGUGAGGCUAACACCUAACAUUUGAGGGUUUUUGUUUCUGUGUUUUUUUGAGGCAGGAUCUCACUCUGUCACCUAGGCUGGAGUAAAGUGGCAUGAUCACAGCUCACUGCUGUAGCCUUGACCCCCCCAGGCUCAAGUGAUCCUCCUGCCUCAGCCUCUCGAGUAGCUGGGACUACAGGUGCACGCCACCACACCUUGCAAAUUUUUUUUCCAACUGUUAAGUUCAGGGGUACAUGUGCAGGACGUGCAGGUUUGUUACACAGGUAACCAUGUGCCGUUGUGGUUUACCGCACAGAUCAUCCCAUCACCCAGGUAUUAAGCCCAGCAUGCAUUAGCUAUUCUUCCUGAUAUUCUCUUUAAUUUCUUUUUUAAAUAGGGACGAGGUAUUGCUACACUGCUCAGGCUGGCCUGAACUUCUGGGCUCCAGUGAUCCUCCUGCCUCAUCCUCCCAAAUUGCCAGGAUUACAGGUGUGAGCCACCACGCCCGGCCUCAUUUGAGUAUUUACCCUGACCAGGCACCUGGAUCAUCUUACUUAAUUCUCACCAUGGCCCUAUACUAAAGGUGCAAGUGUGAUCAUCAUCACUACUGUUUUGCAGAAUAGGAAACGGGCUAAGUAAUGAGUAAUAUGUUCAAAGUCACAGUUAGUAAUAAAACUAAAACAUGCUGGCCAGCUGCAGUGGCUCACACCUGUAAUCCCAGCACUUUGGGAGGCUGAGGUGGGCGGAUCACGAGGUCAGGAGAUCUAGACCAGCCUGACCAACAUGGUAAAGCGCCAUCUCUACAAAAAUACAAAAAUUAGCCAGGCGCGGUAGCACGUGCCUAUAAUCCCAGCUACUCAGGAGGCUGAGGCAGGAGAAUCGCUUGAACCUGGGAGGCAGAGGUUGCGGUGAGCUGAGAUCAUGCCACUGCCCUCUAGGCUGGGUGACAGAGCAAGACUCCGUCUCAAAGAAAAAAAAAAACUAAAAUAUACUGAUAUGGCACAAUGCUAGGGGCCAGGUACCCAUGUAGUAAGUACUUUUAGGUGUAUUUUCUCAUUUUAUUCUCCUCAUCACUAUGCCAUGAGGUAGGUACUAUAAUCAUCCCAUUUCACAGAGGGAGAAACUGAGACAGAGCAGUUAAGUAACUUGCUUGAGGUUGCCCAUUUGCAAUCAGGGAAGCGAGGCAGUCUGACUCUAGAGUCUGCCGUGC